rnacentral:rRNA from 1 species
AACGAACGCUGGCGGCGUGCUUAACACAUGCAAGUCGAACGGGAUUGGAAGCUUGCUUCCGUGAGAGUGGCGCACGGGUGAGUAACGCGUGGAUAACCUGCCCUGGUAUCUGGAAUAACAUCUCGAAAGGGGUGCUAAUACCGGAUAAGCUCACGACUCCUUCGGGAGAUGCGAGAAAAGAUGGCCUCUGAAUAUGCUACCGUAUCAGGAUGGGUCCGCGUACCAUUAGCUAGUUGGUGGGGUAAUGGCCUACCAAGGCUACGAUGGUUAGCUGGUCUGAGAGGAUGAUCAGCCACACUGGAACUGAGACACGGUCCAGACUCCUACGGGAGGCAGCAGUGGGGAAUUUUGCGCAAUGGGGGAAACCCUGACGCAGCAACGCCGCGUGAGUGAUGAAGGCCUUCGGGUCGUAAAGCUCUGUCAGAGGGGAAGAAGUGUAGUGGUGCUAAUACCAUCACUUCUUGACGGUACCCUCAAAGGAAGCACCGGCUAACUCCGUGCCAGCCGCCGCGGUAAUAC